rnacentral:tRNA from 1 species
GGCCUCGUAGCUCAGCUGGCAGAGCAUGCGCGUUCAAAGCGUAGGCAGCGUCCAUGCCUGGUGUGUUCAAAUCCCACCGAGGCUA